rnacentral:rRNA from 1 species
UUGGGUUAAGUCCCGCAACGAGCGCAACCCUCGCCCUUAGUUGCCAUCAUUAAGUUGGGCACUCUAAGGGGACUGCCGGUGAUAAGCCGAGAGGAAGGUGGGGAUGACGUCAAGUCCUCAUGGCCCUUACGGGCUGGGCUACACACGUGCUACAAUGGUGGUGACAGUGGGCAGCGAGACAGUGAUGUCGAGCUAAUCUCCAAAAGCCAUCUCAGUUCGGAUUGCACUCUGCAACUCGGGUGCUUGAAGUUGGAAUCGCUAGUAAUCGCGGAUCAGCAUGCCGCGGUGAAUACGUUCCCGGGCCUUGUACACACCGCCCGUCACACCAUGGGAGUUGGUUCUACCCGAAGGCGCUGCGCUAACCGCAAGGAAGCAGGCGACCACGGUAGGGUCAGCGACUGGGGUGAAGUCGUAACAAGGUAACCA